GAGUGGCGAACUGGUGAGUAACACGUGGGAAACCUGCCCAGAAGCGGGGGAUAACACCUGGAAACAGAUGCUAAUACCGCAUAACAACUUGGACCGCAUGGUCCGAGCUUGAAAGAUGGCUUCGGCUAUCACUUUUGGAUGGUCCCGCGGCGUAUUAGCUAGAUGGUGGGGUAACGGCUCACCAUGGCAAUGAUACGUAGCCGACCUGAGAGGGUAAUCGGCCACAUUGGGACUGAGACACGGCCCAAACUCCUACGGGAGGCAGCAGUAGGGAAUCUUCCACAAUGGACGAAAGUCUGAUGGAGCAACGCCGCGUGAGUGAAGAAGGGUUUCGGCUCGUAAAACUCUGUUGUUAAAGAAGAACAUAUCUGAGAGUAACUGUUCAGGUAUUGACGGUAUUUAACCAGAAAGCCACGGCUAACUACGUGCCAGCAGCCGCGGUAAUACGUAGGUGGCAAGCGUUGUCCGGAUUUAUUGGGCGUAAAGCGAGCGCAGGCGGUUUUUUAAGUCUGAUGUGAAAGCCUUUCGGCUCAACCGAAGAAGUGCAUCGGAAACUGGGAAACUUGAGUGCAGAAGAGGACAGUGGAACUCCAUGUGUAGCGGUGAAAUGCGUAGAUAUAUGGAAGAACACCAGUGGCGAAGGCGGCUGUCUGGUCUGUAACUGACGCUGAGGCUCGAAAGUAUGGGUAGCAAACAGGAUUAGAUACCCUGGUAGUCCAUACCGUAAACGAUGAAUGCUAAGUGUUGGAGGGUUUCCGCCCUUCAGUGCUGCAGCUAACGCAUUAAGCAUUCCGCCUGGGGAGUACGGCCGCAAGGCUGAAACUCAAAGGAAUUGACGGGGGCCCGCACAAGCGGUGGAGCAUGUGGUUUAAUUCGAAGCUACGCGAAGAACCUUACCAGGUCUUGACAUACUAUGCAAAUCUAAGAGAUUAGACGUUCCCUUCGGGGACAUGGAUACAGGUGGUGCAUGGUUGUCGUCAGCUCGUGUCGUGAGAUGUUGGGUUAAGUCCCGCAACGAGCGCAACCCUUAUUAUCAGUUGCCAGCAUUAAGUUGGGCACUCUGGUGAGACUGCCGGUGACAAACCGGAGGAAGGUGGGGAUGACGUCAAAUCAUCAUGCCCCUUAUGACCUGGGCUACACACGUGCUACAAUGGAUGGUACAACGAGUUGCGAACUCGCGAGAGUAAGCUAAUCUCUUAAAGCCAUUCUCAGUUCGGAUUGUAGGCUGCAACUCGCCUACAUGAAGUCGGAAUCGCUAGUAAUCGCGGAUCAGCAUGCCGCGGUGAAUACGUUCCCGGGCCUUGUACACACCGCCCGUCACACCAUGAGAGUUUGUAACACCCAAAGUCGGUG
rnacentral:rRNA from 1 species